rnacentral:rRNA from 1 species
AGGAUGAACGCUAGCUACAGGCUUAACACAUGCAAGUCGAGGGGCAGCAUGGUCUUAGCUUGCUAAGGCCGAUGGCGACCGGCGCACGGGUGAGUAACACGUAUCCAACCUGCCGUCUACUCUUGGACAGCCUUCUGAAAGGAAGAUUAAUACAAGAUGGCAUCAUGAGUCCGCAUGUUCACAUGAUUAAAGGUAUUCCGGUAGACGAUGGGGAUGCGUUCCAUUAGAUAGUAGGCGGGGUAACGGCCCACCUAGUCUUCGAUGGAUAGGGGUUCUGAGAGGAAGGUCCCCCACAUUGGAACUGAGACACGGUCCAAACUCCUACGGGAGGCAGCAGUGAGGAAUAUUGGUCAAUGGGCGAGAGCCUGAACCAGCCAAGUAGCGUGAAGGAUGACUGCCCUAUGGGUUGUAAACUUCUUUUAUAAAGGAAUAAAGUCGGGUAUGGAUACCCGUUUGCAUGUACUUUAUGAAUAAGGAUCGGCUAACUCCGUGCCAGCAGCCGCGGUAAUACGGAGGAUCCGAGCGUUAUCCGGAUUUAUUGGGUUUAAAGGGAGCGUAGAUGGAUGUUUAAGUCAGUUGUGAAAGUUUGCGGCUCAACCGUAAAAUUGCAGUUGAUACUGGAUAUCUUGAGUGCAGUUGAGGCAGGCGGAAUUCGUGGUGUAGCGGUGAAAUGCUUAGAUAUCACGAAGAACUCCGAUUGCGAAGGCAGCCUGCUAAGCUGCAACUGACAUUGAGGCUCGAAAGUGUGGGUAUCAAACAGGAUUAGAUACCCUGGUAGUCCACACGGUAAACGAUGAAUACUCGCUGUUUGCGAUAUACGGCAAGCGGCCAAGCGAAAGCGUUAAGUAUUCCACCUGGGGGAGUACGCCGGCAACGGUGAAAACUCAAAAGGAAUUGACGGGGGCCCCGCACAAGCGGAGGAACAUGUGGUUUAAUUUGAUGAUACGCGAGGAACCUUACCCGGGCUUAAAUUGCAGAUGAAUUACGGUGAAAGCCGUAAGCCGCAAGGCAUCUGUGAAGGUGCUGCAUGGUUGUCGUCAGCUCGUGCCGUGAGGUGUCGGCAUAAGUGCCAUAACGAGCGCAACCCUUGUUGUCAGUUACUAACAGGUUAUGCUGAGGACUCUGACAAGACUGCCAUCGUAAGAUGUGAGGAAGGUGGGGAUGACGUCAAAUCAGCACGGCCCUUACGUCCGGGGCUACACACGUGUUACAAUGGGGGGUACAGAGGGCCGCUACCACGCGAGUGGAUGCCAAUCCCCAAAACCUCUCUCAGUUCGGACUGGAGUCUGCAACCCGACUCCACGAAGCUGGAUUCGCUAGUAAUCGCGCAUCAGCCACGGCGCGGUGAAUACGUUCCCGGGCCUUGUACACACCGCCCGUCAAGCCAUGGGAGCCGGGGGUACCUGAAGUGCGUAACCGCGAGGAGCGCCCUAGGGUAAAAC